ACGUAAUUUGGGGGGGGGACACAGGGGACAUGUCCCCUGCGCUUUUUCAAAAGGCCGUUCUGGUCCCCUGCAGUUUUCACCGUCCGGAAACCAUGUUACGCUAUGGUAAACAGAGACUCUUCAGGCACUAGGACCAAGCGGAAACGGCCGCUCGAGCUGAAGCCAGUUUGCUUUCGUUUAGAACUACCCACAAGCUCCUCCAUUGGCUCUGCAUUCCUUGUGUGAUUGGCCGUCCCCGCUGUCACUCCAUCAGGUUAUAAACAGCACCAGGACGCACACCGGUCUGCCAGUUGGGGAGGAGGCCGUGUUAAUCUUCCGCUGCGCAGCCAGGAUGUCUAAAAAAAGAAAAGUGGACAUAAGAGACUUCUUUCAAAGUCAAAGUGUAAGUUACUCAAAGAAAUGCGUUACACCAUCCUGCGACACCUUCACUGGCUCCCAAUAGAGCAGCACGUCCACUUCAAGAUCCUCCUCAUCAAUUACAAAGCUCUCAGUAAUCUUGUAAAGUGUAUUUGAGUUUUAUUGAAAGUGCUGAUAAAUAAAAUGUAUUGUUAAAAAAAGGCGCGAAAAUUUCUGGAGGAAAGCAGAGGUACCAGUUUCUAUCAAUCGCUCUAAAAACCCCAUUUCCUAACUUUAGCCACAUAAAAUAUAUAUGCAGACAUUCAGGAAGAGCUCAGGAUGCUCACAGUGAAGCCGGUUCAAUGAUAGGAACUAACUACAGUUUGGCCAAAAAUGCUUCGGUUUCAGUGGUUUGUCUCUCAGCGGUGUCAAAUGUCACAGGAGCCGCUGCGGGUGACUGCUCUGCUCUGAUUGGUGGGCUCCACCAGGCCCUGACAAUUUCUUUAGAAAUGUUCUAGUUGUUGUUAUUAUUAUUAUAAAUAUACACCCUUUCACACCUUAAUUGCCACGAUCAUCCUGUAAGGCUUAACAAGACGAGAAACUACUAUAACUGCCUAAAAUGACAGUGGUUCUGUGUUACAUUAAUUUUAAAUAAAUUUGAUCACUUGACUACUUA